GGGUGUUGUUAAAAGCAUUCAGUUUUAAAAGGGAAACAGAGCAUAAAAGUUUGCAAAAUUUGUAGUCUGACAAGCAAUAAAGAAGAAAAACCCAUUUUCUGAGGAGCAAUUCAAGCCAGCUGCAGAAAUUUGCUUAAGUAAUAAGGAGCCUAAUAUUAAUCUCUGACAGUGGGAAAAAUGUCUCCAGGGCAGGUCAGAGGUCCUCACAGCAGACCCCCCACCCCCAAUCACAGGCCUGGAGGUUUAGGAGAAAAAAAAUAGUUUAGUGGGCCAGGCCCAGGGUCCCUCUGAUGUGUGCAGUCUAGGGACUUUGUGCCCUGCAACCCAGCUGCUGCAGCUGUGACUAAAAGGGGCCAAGUUGCAGCUCAGGUUGUUGCUUUAGAGGGUGGAAGCCCCAAGCCCUGGCAGCUUCUACGUGGUGUUGAGCCUGCAGGUGAACAGAAGUCAAGAAUUGAGGUUUGGGAACCUCUGCCUAGAUUUCAGAAAAUGUAUGGAAAUGUCUGAAUGCCCAGGCAGAAGUUUGCUGCAGGGGCGGGGCCCUCAUGGAGAACCUCUUCUAGGACAGUGCAGAAGGGAAAUGUGGGGUCCAAGCCCCCAUGUAGAGUCCCUGCUGGAGCACCACCUAGUGGAGCUGUGAGAAGAGGGCCACCAUCCUCCAGACUCCAGAAUAGAUCAACCGACAGCUUGCACUUUGCACCUGGAAAAAUCGGACAUUCAACAUCAGCCUGUGAAAGCAGCCAAGAGGGCGGAUAUACCCUGCAAAACCACAGAGGCAGAGCUUCCCAAAGCCAUGGGAGCCUACCUCUCGCAUCAGCAUGUCCUGGAAGUUCAUAGGCAGACAGGACUUGCCUUGUCUCAGAUGAGACUUUGGACUGUGGACUUUGGAGUAAAUGCUGAAAUGAGUUAAGACUUUGGGGGACUGUUGGGAAGGCAUGAUUGGUUUUGAAAUGUGAGGACAUGAGAUUUGGGAGGGGCCAGGGGGGAAUGAUAUGGUUUGGCUGUGUCCCCACCCAAAUCUCAUCUUGAAUUCCCACGUGUUAUGGGAGGAACCUGGAGUGAGGUAAUUGAAUCAUGGGGGUGGGUCUUUCCCAUGCUGUUCUUAUGAUAGUGAGUAAGUCUCACAAGAUCUGAUGGUUUUAAAAAUGGGAGUUUCCCUGCACAAGCUCUCUUCUCUUGUUUGCUGUCAUGUGAGACAUGCCUUUUGCCUUCCACCAUGACUGUGGUGGCAUGUGGCACUGUAAGCCU
rnacentral:lncRNA from 1 species